CCCUUAGAUGUCCUGGGCCGCACGCGUGCUACACUGAUACGUGCAAUAAGUCUCCUGCCCCGAAAGGCGGCGGGUAAUCUGCAAUACGUAUCGUGAUUGGGAUAGAUCCUUGUAAUUAUGGAUCUUGAACGAGGAAUUCCUAGUAAGCGUAAGUCAUUAUCUUACACUGAUUAAGUCCCUGCCCUUUGUACACACCGCCCGUCGCUUAUACCGAUUUCGAGUGGUCCGGUGAGUCCUUAGGAUGCGGUCGCAUGACUGCAGAAUUUGAGCAAACCUUAUCACUUAGAGGAAUAAAAAGUCGUAACA
rnacentral:rRNA from 1 species